ACGGCAAGCCGUCUUAUCGCUGCCCUAUCGGGGGGAGAGGAAAGUCCGGGCAACACAGAGCAUCCUACUUCCUAACGGGAAGGGUCCUGCGCAAGCGGGAUACAGCCAGUGCCACAGAAAAUAACCGCCAGCCUAGUGCUGGUAAGGGUGAAAAGGUGCGGUAAGAGCGCACCAGCGGCUGGGUGACCAGUCCGGCUGGGUAAACCUUAGGAGUUGAAAGACCAAAUAGGCUGACAGCGCCUCGCUUCGGCGGGGCUAAGGGCUGCUCGUCCGAUGUCAGUGGGUAGGUCGAUGGAGCCUGUGCGCGAGUGCAGGCCUAGAUAAAUGAUAAGACGCACACCUUCGGGUGGAGCGACAGAACCCGGCUUACAGGCUUGCUGUUGAU
rnacentral:RNase_P_RNA from 1 species